AACUAAUUUUUUUGCACUCUUAAUUUGCAUGUCGUUGGAGAGAAAGGUGCGGGGUUGCUGGGCGAGGCGGUCUGCUAGGCGAGGCGCUGUCCAAGGCUAUAGAUCGGUAACCCACAAUCUGAGUUGCUUAAUAUUUGGAAUGAGUCCAACGGUUUUGUAGUUAGGCCGUUAGGGAGUUACAGAGCGGGGUAUGGAAUGGAGUGAGAAGAACCAGGGCUCAACUCCGGGCGGCAGAGGCGGAGAAUAUGGUGGUGGAGGCGGAGGCGUAGUAUACUGCAGUGAGAACGCGAAAAGGGCAAAGCUGAAUUCAACGUUAGCCGCAUUACUAGAUGACCCCAUUCUCUCAGAUGUCCCAAAGAAGCCAUCUUUAUCCGAUGUCGACACCCUUAUCAGCUUAGAGCUCGGAAGUGCCAUGCGUAUCUCUGUACUCAAGCUCGACUCCACCUCCUUUGAUGUUGUGGUCAUGAAUUCGGCUACGGUGAAGGAUUUGAAACUGUGUAUUAAGAAGAAAGUUACAGAAAUGGAACAAUCACAGAUGGGUCAUCGUCAUAUUUCUUGGAAACAUGUAUGGGCGAAUUAUUGCCUUUUAUAUCAAAAUGAGAAACUACUCAAUGAGAGUGCAGUUCUUCAGGAUUUUGGCAUACGUAAUAAUUCUCAGGUUCAAUUUAUACCUUUCAUUACGGCAAGGCUAAACAAGAAACACACAAAAAGAAAAAAGCAUCGUUUUUUCCAUGAUGUUGUUCGGCGUGUCUAUAGUUUAUCAUCUUCUUCCUUGUCGGCCUUGUGAAAGAUAAACCCCUUUACUUUUAAAGGAUUUUACUGAAACUCUACAAUGUACACUUCUUCCUUUCACGAUAGAGAAGAUAUUUCCUGUUGUUUGAAAUUGACUUCUACUACUAUGUACACUUCUUAUCUGCAAUGCUGCGUCUGUGGAGUUCCUCUUAUUUUUGUGCACAGUGAUGAAUGGACAUGGGAAGAAGCUUCAUAUUCCUAGUACGACGAAGGAGCCCUUGGUAAUAUCAUCACAUCACAUGGUCGGUUCUCCAAUGUGUGCUUCUGAUAUAGGUCCAAACUGGUAAUGGAGCUCACAGGAGAACAAAAGGCAUUUGAGCUUCAAAUUAGUGGCUAUCAUCAUCUAAGUAGAUCGUAAUAUAAUUGCCUCAAUUGUUAAGAAGUUGUAUUAGCUUUUUAGAUAUGUACAUGGUUGAUAUGGAGAAGUUUACACUUAAUAGUUUUGCUUUUACGCUUACUCUACUGUACAAAUGGUUGAUAUAUAUGGAGAAGUAACACAAUAUGGAUUUUGGGUAGUAACAGGUAGAUAUUAUAGAUUUUAAGUACGUACUUGAGUUAAUUUUAAUGUUGAUUGAAGACCAAUUAUUCAAAAUUCAGAUUUCAUUA